AUGCUGAGCACUAGAUUAAAUAAAAAGUAAAAUCACCGUAUCUGAAAAAUCAAGAAAAAAUAAUAUCUAGAUCUAGAAAAAAAAACAUAAAAGAACAAUGAAACAUCCUUACAAAUUGUUAAAAGAAAAAAAGUAGCAACCCAUCGAAAUAUCCAAGCAACCAAGAAACCAGAAUAUACCAAACUAAAAAUCAGGAUAUUUAUUUGUAAAAAGAAUUUUCUAAAAGGCCUACCCUAUCUAGGACAAAAGGAAAAUCACCAUAUGUGAAAUAAUCAAAAUCUAAUCAAGAAUGAAAGCCUAAUUAGUUCUAAAAAAAGGUUAAAAGUAUAAGAAUUUCUACAUAUAGAAGAGACAGAUAUCAUACAUUAUUAAAAGGAGAC
rnacentral:lncRNA from 1 species